UACGGGGGGAGCAAGCGUUGUUCGGAUUUACUGGGCGUAAAGGGCGCGUAGGCGGUCAGCACAAGUCAGUUGUGAAAUCUCCGGGCUUAACUCGGAAAGGUCAACUGAUACUGUGCGACUAGAGUGCGGAAGGGGCAACUGGAAUUCUCGGUGUAGCGGUGAAAUGCGUAGAUAUCGAGAGGAACACCUGCGGCGAAGGCGGGUUGCUGGGCCGACACUGACGCUGAUGCGCGGAAGCCAGGGAGCGAACGGG
rnacentral:rRNA from 1 species